AGCGUGUGGUUUAAUUCGUUGCUACACGAAGAACCUUACCUGGGUUUGACAUAUAGGUUGUAGGGAACUGAAAGGGACCGACCCUUCGGGAGCCUAUACAGGUGUUGCAUGGCUGUCGUCAGCUCGUGUCGUGAGAUGUUCGGUUAAGUCCGCUAACGAGCGCAACCCUCGUCGUAUGUUAUAUGUGUCAUACGAGACUGCCGGUAAAAGCCGGAGGAAGGUGAGGAUGAUGUCAAGUCAGCAUGACCUUUAUAUCCAGGGCUACACACACGCUACAAUGGUCUGUACAAUGGGUAGCCAAGCCGCGAGGCGGAGCCAAUCCUGAAAGCAGGCCUCAGUUCAGAUUGCAGUCUGCAACUCGACUGCAUGAAGCCGGAGUUGCUAGUAACCGCAGGUCAGCAAUACUGCGGUGAAUACGUUCCCGGGUCUU
rnacentral:rRNA from 1 species